ACGUGAGGCUCACUUAGAGCCUCGCUAACGUGGGGAGGUUAGGCAUCCACUUGGGUAGCGACAGCAUCCCUUCUGGAGAAACGGCAUCCAGAGGCCGGGUUAUCAGCCCUGGUCGGAACCGUUUC
rnacentral:sRNA from 22 species